rnacentral:rRNA from 1 species
GACUCUCGGCAACGAAUAUCUCGGCUCUUGUCACGAUGAAGAACGUAGCAAAAUGUGAUACUUAGUGUGAAUUGCAGAAUCCCGUGAAUCAUCAAGUUUUUGAACGCAAUUUGCGCCCGAGGCCUCGGUCGAGGGAACGUCUGUCUGGGCAUCA